AGAGUUUGAUCAUGGCUCAGAUUGAACGCUGGCGGCAGGCCUAACACAUGCAAGUCGAGCGGAAACGAUGGGAGCUUGCUCCCAGGCGUCGAGCGGCGGACGGGUGAGUAACACGUGGGAAUCUGCCC
rnacentral:rRNA from 1 species